AUUCCAGCUCCACUAGUGUAUGCUAAAGUUGCUGCAGUUAAAAAGUUCGUAUUUGGAUUUUUGGCAGCGCCGUUGAGUCCCGUCAUCUUGAUGUGUGACUCUGUGGCGCGCCUUCUGAAUAUGGCGCAAGCCGUGUUCUAGUUACCGUGAGGAAAUUGGAGUGCUCAAAGCAGGCGUAUGCAGCUGAACACAUUAGCAUGGGAUAACAAGGCAGGACUCUUUUCUUGUUUUGUUGGUUUCUCGUAGAAGAGAGUAAUGAUUAAUAGGGGCAGUCGGGGGCAUUAGUACGGCAACGUCAGAGGUGAAAUUCGUAGAUUGUUGUCAGACUAACUUCUGCGAAAGCAUUUGUCAAGGAUGCUUUCAUUA
rnacentral:rRNA from 1 species